CUGUAGCAUCCCCGAAUCCGGGUCCCAAAUCGCCGCGGAUCCGGUAUACUAAUUCUAUCACUAUUGCGGAAGAUAUAAACAUACAUUGUUUAUACAUUAAACUUUACACAUCAGUCCCAAGGUCCACAACCUUAACUUAAUACAUACCUUCAAUAUUAAAAAUGUUUACAAUACUAUUUUCGUUAGAAAAUUUAAUAAAUCUAACUGCAACAUAAAAAAAAAACUUUGCACUUUGUCUUUGCCUCUGUCCUUAUUCAAGCUUUCAUCUUAAUUUGAAAAUUUUAUCAUGAUAUAGCAAGGGUGAGCAACAAAUUUGCCCAGCAAGUUUUACAUACAAUGGAGAUAUAUCAUGAUUGAAAAGAAUGAAUAAGCUUUCAAGUUUUCAACAAUAUAAUAAUUGUGAAAUAACAUGAAUCAAGUUUCAAUGAUUGAAUGACUGAACCAAUGAUAUUGGAUGUCAACAAUUAACAUGAACAAGUUUAACUGAAACCUAUGGUAAUGAAGGUGAUCAGCCUUUCAUACCUGAUGAACAUANNNNNNN
rnacentral:lncRNA from 1 species